CUGCUGCUUGUACUUGUAGUAUUAGUACUACUGCUUGUACAACUAUACUACAGAUACUAUUAAUCGUCUGGUAUUUGGUUGUCAAGCUGCUAGCUCGCCUUAGUGUUUUGCUAGUGGCUAACUAGUUAGCUCUCAUAGACUGGAAGCUCUCAAAAAGAUUUCAUAAUGAAAAAAGAGCCAAAAACUAUUCUUACCUAUGAAAAGUCAUUCCAAGUUUCCUUGUCUCAAUCGUACGACGUAGUGUGUAAUUGUAUGCAGCACAGUGAGCGGCAUACUUGUUUCCGUUUUCACGCCGUUUACAUCAACGGAAUGCACUGAAACUUUGCCCCCACUAGCUUAGCCUCGCUGUAGCACGCAGCUCAAAGGGGCGUGGCCUAUCUACUCAUUCAUAUCUAUAGCCGCAAUUCCACAAGCAUCUACUCGGCGCGGUACGGCUCACCACUAUUGUAUUUGACUCGGCUCGUCUCAGUUUAGUUGUUUUUCCGUAUAGCCUCAUCGUGGGUGGAGUCGUCAUAGCACAGCGAGCCGAAAGUCCCUUAACGUCAUUUAUGAGCGACACAAACGCAACAUAACGGAGGCGAUGGUUCACCUGCUGCUCAGUCUGUGGCUUUCUGUCAGAUUCAAAGUAAAAGAAGAGUCAUAGAAAGCUGAGAGCGGCGAGUCGGAACACUCAGGAGACACACAGGAGAGUUUAGGAGGCAAUACAGCAGUAUCAAGCUGAAGACAAGAGGAUAUGAACGAGACGACAUAUGAGGAUGCUCUCUUAUGAGACUUCAUGGGAUUUACCUGAAGCAGCAGCACAUGAUCCUGCAGUGGCACAAGGUGUAGAGGAGGAGGACAGAGAUGUACAGGAUGCACUGAUGCACUACGUGUCAUGUAAAAGUUAAAAGUUAUUCUUCUCGCUAUACUUCUGUUUUUCUGUCCCCGGACCGCUAUUGUUUUCUUGAAUGCAAUUCUGACAAUAAACUUUUGUACCUUUUGCA